UCCAAAUUACCAGACAAGAAAGGCAGGUCUUUAGAAGCUCUUGGGAAGCAAUUCAGAUUCUUAAAAUCAUUUUAUUUCCUUUCAGAAGAUGAAGACGAUUACUCAUUAUUUUGAGUUAAAUUAAUUCUGUUCACAGAAGACAUUAUACUUGAAUUCCAGCCUUCAGACCCUGUGAGAAAUGAAUGCUCUGUUAAAAGAUAUACAAUCAGGUGUAGAUGCCUUCAUGAUAGAGUGUGGCUUUCACCUGAACUACAGAAAGCACUCUUUGUCCUAGAUUACCAAAUAUUUUGUUGUAACUCUAUCCUUCAAGCACUAUUAGCUGGGGAAACAAAGACGUAAACAGGGUGUUAAAUGUUAUCACAAAGGUGUCCAUUUAUGCUCCAGGAGAAGUGGAAAAGGAGGAGAAGUGGCAUCUCUCACAGUCUAAAGGGUCAGGAAAGGCUUUCUGGAGGAGGGGACACCUGCAAUGAAGCUGGAAAGGCAAGUGGGUGUUGGCUUCACGAAGAGAGAGGAUUCAUUCUCUACAGAGGGACACAGAGAAAACCCAGGAGGAUUAAGAAGAAAAAGAAAAAAGGCAAAAGUAAGCAAAGACACCAAGGUUUUCUGUCCCCAGACCUAUAGUCACUCAACAAAUCUAUGAUGGCUCCCUAGCUACAGGUCAACAGACUAUGCUAUCAGACCAGAGGAGGACAGUAUCUGAUUUGCUUUCUAUUGCGGUUUAGUGUAACCCCUACAACACUAAAGCCCCUCCAAGAGAAUUCAUUCUAGUCCUUUGUAUGGUAAAAUGGGACAUAUAACAUUAACAAAUAUCUUGGCUUUUCAAAUUCUAUUAACAUUAUCAGGAAUAAAUAGAAAGAAAUGUCAUCUUUUUUAAACCACAUAUGUUGAUUUUCAAGGAGAUCACAAAUCUGGGCUAGGCCCCAUUUCAGCACAAAAGACAACUUGUGGAUUUUCAGCUUCCUGGAAAAUUGAAGAAUUGAAUCGAAUGGGAGUGAAAACAGAGCCUUAACACAGGAAAGGAAAAACUGAAUGCGAGGUCUUAGGCAUAACAAUGUCCAUUUGUAAGGAUGGCCUCAUGUUCUAGCCAUAAUGGGCCUGCCAAGGGAGUGAGGACUCAUCCAGAAGAACACACAUCAGUGAGAGAGAAUUCACUCUAUGGCAGGAAGAUGCACCUUUGAAGCAGCAGGCCAAGCUCGGGAACCAGGCAUACAGAGGCCCGGAGCAGGAAGAGCAACUCUGUGCAUGGCUUCACAGGCUUUCUGUCAAUUUCUCUAUGCUUUGCCAUGCUAAGACAAGAGAGACAGGCAGCAGCUAUGUCCUUUAGGUUACCAUGGCCCCACCCAAAGAGCUCUUGUGCAUAUCACCAACCAUCCCUGACAAAGGUGCUCAGGAAUAAGAUAGAUGAGUAUUCAAUGGGACUGCCAACUUGGCAGACCAUUCCUUUCCCACAAAAGCCUAACUAACAUCACUUGGAACUCUAUCUUCCCUCAAUUUCUAACCUCAUAUCCAGACUAUAUACAUUCCAUUAUCAUUCUGGUUUUCUGUUUACCACCAGCAUAUCACUAGACAGUCACAUGGUGCAUACUGAUGUUUUAAUAAAAAAUGGACCACACUAUAUGAUGACAGUCCCAUAAGAUAACAAUGGAACUGAAAAUUCUUACCACCUAGUAUUUUUACUGUAUUUUUUCCUAUGUUUAGAUAUUUUCCUGUUUUACAACUGCCUAUAAUAUUCAGUACAGUAAUAUAUGGGAUAGGUUUGUGCCUCCAAGCAAUAGGCUAUGUCUGUGUUAGGUUGUACCAUCUAGAUUUGUGUAAGCACACUGUAUCAUGUUCAUAUAAUGACAAAAUCACCUAACAACUCAUUUCUCAGAAUGUAUCCCUAUUGUUAACCAAUGAGUGAUGAGUCAUUACUUCUGGUAUCAGAUGGACCUGGAGAGCCAAGCUACUAAGAAUGAUGAACAAAGGCUUACUCCCACCAGUCUCACCUCCUUCAAACCCAGGCAGUUGGCUUCCAGAUCCUAUGUUCUUAAUCACUACAGACGUAUUCCCCAAACUUACUUAAUUAUAAAAGAAGUACCAAAUGAGUGUAUGUGGAGGAGGGUGUUAAAUAUAUAUUCUCAGACUCCUCUCUUUAGAGAUUCUAGUUCAGUGGGGCCCGAGAUAGAUCCUGGAAUCUUUAUUUUUAACACACCCUCAGAUGACUUUCAUCACAGUUUAGAAACAGUUCUACAUGCCACCAGUAUUGCCCACUUGAAUUGGGAUUCCUUCAGAAGCAUAAUGAAACUGGGCCAAGAUCAACUUAUUCCAGACAGACCUGGCAACCAUAAAUCGUACAGGUCAUGCUUUUCCAUUUCCUUCAGGCAAAACCCUCAAUCCUCUGAGAAUCUUACAGACUGGCUGUAAUACCUCUCUCCAUUGCCAGGACCUCUGACCCCACCUAAUUUGCCAAAGAACUGGCCCACCUUCUUUUUCUUUACUCCAAACAUCUUGCCAUCCUUCUGAUGGCUUCUCUGACCACAAGGAUGACCCAAACAACACUCUGGUCACUCGGUUAUCUGACUUCAUCAUCUUAGUGUUCUUCGCUGAGUUCAUUUCAUUUUAGUGGUUCAGGUCUGUGGUGAAAUGUAGAAGUCUGCCAUGCCCAGUAAUUAACUGCUCCAAUUCUGAAAUCUUCCACUCACAUAUCCCUCUCUGACCAUCACUCCAAUACACCCAUUCCUUGACUUCAUCAACACCACUGGUCCUCUUCUCCUCCUUAUUUAGCCUACACCCAUCUAUCAUGUUAAUCACUCCUUGAAAAAUACUCUGUUUUCUGACCCACUGUCCUUCUGCCAGUCAUCCCUAGCAAACCCCAACUCUGGUUCAAUCCAAAUAUAUGCCUUUUUUGCUCCUAAAACCAGAUGUUCCAAUCAGUCCAUAGUCUCCCAAUAGAGUCCUGAAUAUUGCCUGGAUAUCAGAGACACUGUCUUCCUCUUCCUGAUAUCAAUGGUUCAUCAAAAUUUCUCAUUUUUCCUCUGACCUAUUCCUACUUAUUCUUAGCAGAUAAUCUCCCCUCUAUUUCACAAGGAUGACAAGCCACCAGACUGGCACAUGCUCAUAAGCUAUCCCACCAGAAAAUUCGACUGUGCCGGUAUUCCAUCACAAGAACUGCCAAGUCUGUCAUGUCUGAACCAGGACCCUGUUCACAUGGUUAUCUGACGUAAGCACCCUGGUGGUGAGCAUUCCUGAAGUAAACAGUAUGAUGGUGGUAUCUUUCUAGUAGAAAAAAAUAAAAUAGUGUGUCUUUUUUUGUGUGUGUA